rnacentral:lncRNA from 1 species
CGAAAGUGUUUAAGUCAGCAGUACAGAUGAUGAUGACUGUGAACAGACGACCUUCUGGAGUCUUAGAUGAUAAAAUAUCUUUACUGGAACCUGAACCUGAACUGGAAGGUAUUUAUCAUUCAUUAACCAAUUUUCUAACUGUUCUUCUGGUAUUGAGACAAAGACUAUAAACACAAAUAUUUGGUUUCUAAAAAUAACAUGAACCCCCUGAUUAACCUGAGUUGAAAUAAUUUGAAAACCUUUCAACUUAUAAUAGAUCUUUACGAAAUUGAAAACGAAUAAGGCUGUUAGUUUUCUCAUUUGAAUUGUUUUAUAUUGUCAUUUCGGGGCCUUUUAUAGCUGACUAUGUGGUAUGGGCUUUGCUCAUUGUUGAAGGCAGUAUGGUGAUCUAUAGUUGUUAAUUACUGUGUCAUUUUGGUCUCUUGUGGAGAGUUGUCUCAUUGGCAAUCAUAUCUCAUCUUAUUUUUUAGUUCACCUGGCCCGAAGGGCCAAGUGAGCUUUUCCCAUCACUUUGUGUUCGGCGUCCGGCGUCGUUAACUUUUGCAAAAAUCUUCUCCUCUGAAACUGCUGGGCCAAAUUAAACCAAACUUAUCCACAAUCAUCAUUGGGGUAUCUAGUUUAAAAAAUGUGUCCGGUGACCUGGCCAACCAACCAAGAUGGUCGCCAUGGCUAAAAAUAGAACAUAAGGGUAAAAUGCAGUUUUUGGCUUAUAACUCAAAAACCAAAGCAUUUAGAGCAAAUCUGACAUGGGGGUAAUAUUGUUUAUCAGGUCAAGAUCUAUCUGCCUUGAAAUUUUCAGAUGAAUCGGACAUUUCGUUGUUGGGUUGCUGCCCCUGAAAUGGUAAUUUUAAGGAAAUUUUGCUGUUUUUGGUUAUUAUCUUGAAUAUUAUUAUAGAUAGAGAUAAACUGUAAACAGCAAUAAUGUACAGCAAAGUAAGACCUGAAAAGAAGUCAACAUGACCAAAAUGGUCAAUUGACCCCCUAAGGAGUUAUUGCCCUUUAUAUAGUCAUUUUUUAACAAUUUUCACAAAAUUUGUAAAAUUUUACUAACAUUUUCCACUGUAACUACUGGGCCAAGUUCAUUAUAGAUAGAGAUAAUUGUAAGCAGCAAGAAUGUUCAGUAAAGUAAGAUCUACAAACACAUCACCAUCGCCAAACCACAAGUUUGUCUUGAAUCCAUCAGACAGUGUGUCCUUUGUUUAAUAUUCACAUAGACCAAGGUGAGCGACACAGGCUCUUUAGAGCCUCUAGUUUGUAAAUCUUAGUAAUCUUCUCCUCUGAAACUACUGGGCCAAAUUUAACCAAACUUAGCCAUAAUCGUCAUUGGGGUAUCUGGUUAAAAAAAUGUGUCCAGUAACUCGGCCAACAAACCAAGAUGGCCGCCAUGGCUAAAAAUAGAACAUAGGGGUAAAAUGCAGUUUUUGGCUUAUCACUCAAAAACCAAAGCAUUAGAGCAAAUCUGACAGGAAAUAAAAUUGUUGAUCAGGUCACGAUCUAUCUGCCCUGGAAUUUUCAGAUGAAUCGGAUAAUCGGUUGUUAGGUUGCUGCCCCUGAAUUGGUAAUUUUGAGGAAAUUUUGCUGUUUUUUUGUUAUUAUCUUGAAUAUUAUUAUAGAUAGAGAUAAACUGUAAACAGCAAUAAUGUACAGCAAAGUAAGAACUAAAAAUAAGUCAGUAUGACCAAAAUAGUCAAUUGACCCCCUAAGGAGUUAUUGCCCUUCAUAGUCAAUUUUUAACAAUUUUCUUAAAAUUUGAAGAUUUUCAAUAACAUUUUCCACAGAAAGUACUGUUAUAGAUAGAGAUAAUUGUAAGCAGCAAGAAUGUUUAGUAAAGUAAGAUCUACAAACACAUCACCAUCACCAAAACACAAUUUUGUCAUGAAUCCACCUGUGUCCAUUGUUUAAUAUUCACAUAGACCAAGGUGAGCGACACAGGCUCUUUAGAGCCUCUAGUUAUAUUGACCAAUGAGAAUGAGUUAACAUAUGAAUGUCUGCUAGUGUAUUUUUUUUUUAAAAAUAAUCUUGUUAUAAUAAUGUCUUCCUGAAGUAAAAGCAUGUUAGGUUCACUGAACAAAAUGAUUUUAUAAAGGAUUAAGUCUAUCAUAAACUUUCAGUUAUCUGUUCUUACAUAUUUCAGACACCAGUUUGGAUGCUAAGGCAGCAGAAAUGGCAUCAUUACUGGGUCGAAGGUCAGACAUGGAUGAUGACAAUGCAAGUGAUGGUCGUGCAUCAACAAUCACAACACCAAUUACACAGAGAAGGUAACAUUAUAUGAAGUACCCAAAGAUGGACCUAAAAUAAGUGGUCUUAUCAUACAUGUGGUUGCUUUAUAUAGGCAGUCUCUUAGUGGUCUCAUCAUUCUCAAGCAGGUUUGACAAUAAAACUUUAUGUAUUUGUAUAUUGGGUUGGAAUUUAGAAAACACAACAAAAAAAGACAUCAAAUGUUUGUCUUACACAAAAAAAAUUCUGGAAAAGUCCCAAUAAUUGAUAAACAGGAUAGUCCUAUAAUGGAACAUGUACCAUACUCUCUUAAUUUACAGACAUUUUAAAAAGAAGAUCUUGAAGAAAGAUAAAUUUAGCUGCUUCUACAGUGCUCAAUCCAUGUACAUGAAUUGUGAAUUACCAUAAUUGCAUCAAAUGUUAAAAAAAGAUACACUGAAUGUUAUGAUAAACUAAUCUAUGUUCAGAAUAUAAUAACAUUAUUUUUUUAAUUGCAGAAACAGAGGGAAAUCACCUAAUAUUGAAC